CUGAGCGCUUCCCGCAGCCCUGCAGGGAGGAACUGAAGCCGGGACCCGCCACGCGGGUACAAGCACCGCCCAGGGCCAGGGUCUCUGCGACCUGUGAGCUGGGCUUCUCGCUCCAGCUCGAUCCUGUAAGUGGGGCGCUCAUCCGAAUGAUGAAAAGCGACAGAAAAGUCUGGAAAGCAGAGUCUGACCAUUUGGGAGACGACAGGUGCGCGUCCACAAUAGUACGCAGGCUCUGCCCGGGGACAGCUCCUACCACGCCUGACCAGCAGAUUGUACAUGGUCCCCCGGCCCCAGGAUUUGUCAGGCUGAACGCUCCCUCAAUACGCGACCUGCUGGGACUAAACAGUGCUAACUAUAAACUCGUAGGGUUGCUUCAACUGUUGACUGAGAGGCGCCAUGUGCUCCCUGUUAGUGGUGGCUACAUCAUGGAGCUGCUUCUGAGGUUCCUAUGAAACUGCGUUAGUGUUACAGUCGGCAGAUCUGCAACUUCAUUCGGCAUUCAGCAGGUAGGUCCUGCCAGGAGAAACUGCAGUCUCCUGCUUUGUAAGUAACACAUAAUGGGGAUGGAGUGAUAGUUUGAGCCUGUGUCAAUAUCCUGUUCCUUGUAGACAUUCACCCAUGCACUUAGCUGCCAUUUGCGGGCUUUUCCUGCAACCAGGGUUUUAUUUUAGAGAUGAAUCUGCCCUGUUGUUCAUCCUUCAUAAACUCACUCCCUGAAAUUCCCAAAGAAGGUGGAAUCUGUCCCUGGACUACUUAAUAUUUUCUCCCCUCCAUUGCUAGGGAUCUAACACACAGCCUAAUGCAAAUCUGGUUGUUUCCACAAUGGUGCAUUGGAACAUGCCUACCUACCUUACUGGAUUGUAGAAAUUAUCACUUUUGCCCACUCCCAAAUGGUCUUAAAACUCUCUAAUUGCUAUCUUAUGCCUCUCCUCAGUUCAUACCUUUUUGUUCAGUCCUAGCAUUUUUAAAAAUGAAAGGCAUGGAGCUGCAUGAUAAGGUUUUUUUUUAAUUUAUUUAAUCCCAGAAAAUAUUGCUUCAUAGUUAGUGUUGAAUUUCUCACUUUCUAUUCUUUACAGUAUUUCAUAUUUCUAGCUUUAUUAUUGGUGAGGGGCAGAGGCACAGUGGCACAUCAGCCUCAGCCAUUUGUGUUCUUUUUCUAGUGUUACACACACACACACACACACACACACACACACACACACACACACACGCACACACACACACACACACACACACACACACACACACACACACACACGAGUAUUUUGCCCACAUCUGUACGUCCACAUGCAUGGAUUAUCCUCUGAGUUCAGAAGCCAGAAUACCCUGAAACUGAAGUUACAGAGGGUUGUUAGCUGGCUUGUGGGUGCUGGGGACGGAACCUGUGUCCUCUGGAAGAGCCGAGUUUUAACUGCUGACCCGUCUCUCCAGCCCUCAAUUCACUUUGAUUACACAAAGUUCUACUUCAUUUAGGAUUUGCGUACUUGUAGUGCCUUUACUUCACUAAGUUAUUUCCCCAAAUCUGUUGCUUUUGCUCUUAAGUGAACAUGGUUCCAGGGAACGCCUCUCUUCUCAGGAUGUCCAGAGGCCAAUUCGUUCGCUCCAAGAGGACAGGUUGAAGUCCUGAAUGGGUGGGGUCCACAGUCCACCUCUUCCCUCUGGGGAGUGUGAUGCCGCUGUACACCAGGCCAGUGAGAGUGAAGCAGAGUCCGGGACAAGCAGGAUCCAGGUCCAGUUGGGAGCAAGUAUGCCUGUGUGUGUUGGGGGCGGGGGGUGGGGUGGGGUGCUUCUCCAAGGAUCUUAGUGUUAAAGUCCUUUUAGUCGAAGGUCUGCUCUGACCAUCCUUAAUGAAGCAGCUCUCUGAGACAAUCUUAGCUUGUUUUUAUUUUUUAUUGGGGGUGGGUUUGAACACAUACACUGUUUUUCAGGGUGCACCAAGAGUUCUAUAGUUUUGGGGAAGAGCAUGGACAUAGUUCGGGGAAGGAAAAGGUCACGGGCUGAAGGCUAAGGCUCCUGAGAUGUCUCAUUUGCAAAGGGAAGAAUUCCAGGUGCUGUGCUGCAUGACUGCUUGUGACCACCUGGUUGGGGUUCUCUGGGGUAUGUGCUCACCCAAAGGCAGGUGCAGAAACAGCGAGGGAGCUGGUUCUCUCCUGCCAUUCUUAAGUUUUGAGAUUUCUGGGGUUUGAACAUGCCCCAUUUCACUAUUUCCAUGACAAUUCCUCUUGUGGCACACUCCACGUGCCCCACAAAUGAAUGUCCCUGUCUUUUUUUCUAGAUAAUUUACUAGUUUUUGUCUACUUGCUUUACAUUUUUUCUCUGCUAUUCAUCACAAUGUCUCAAGGUGUUGAAAAUUUCCCCUUUCUCUUUGAGCUUCAGGUGGAUUUACUUAAUCUGUAUUUUAUGUAAAUUCUAUUUAAAAAAUAAAAAAUGUGCCCUUUUCUCUAAAAUUUCAAAAGUCUUUUUGCUUCAUUCCCACAUUUUUUAAGAGUCUAAGUCCAAUCAGUAAAGAAUCACACAGUGGGUUACAUUUGGAGUAUAAUGUAAAAAUUAACUAAUAUGUGGUAAUAAAAGGAAAUUGCAUGUGUCCUCAGGCUGCAGAAGAGUAUCCAAGUAUCUAAGUGUGCAAACUUGAAAAUGGAGACUCAGAUUCCUUCAGUGGUGCUGAGUCUAGUCUGUUAGGUAGCAAACAAAACAAAACAAACAAAAACAAAACUAUGCAUUUAGCCAGGUAGGUCUCGGGACAAGUCUGGAGUUCCUAUACCAGGGACAGAGCCCCUGGUAGAUUAGAAGCAGGGGAGCAGUUGAUCACAACUGGCAAUGUAGGCCUGCUGCAGGAGUCCAAGGGGCUCAUUAAGCCUGCACAGAAGCUUGCAGAGGGAGCAGAGCCUGUAGAUCCUUUGGGCACAGUCAGUAUGCAUGUAUUACAUUGAUGCUCACAGAUAGCUUUAGAACUUUGGGUGCCCAGGCAACAAGCAGCUCUGUGUAGGCCAUGCAAAAACUUGUCAAAGCGGUACAGAAAGGGUAUCUACAGCCAGGGCUACAAGGGUUCCUACAUAGACUUUUGCUGGCUUCAGACUUCCCCCAGCCAACUCUCAGCCCCACACCAGAAAUUUCUAGAGAAUCCUGUUCCUGCAGUCUUUUUCCAAUAUAUAUAUUUAUGUAUGUGAACACACUGUAGCUCUUUUCAGACUCACCCAAAGAGGGCGUCAGAUCCCAUUACAGAUGGUUGUGAGUCACUAUGUGGUUGCUGGGAAUUGAACUCAGGACAUCUGGAAGAGCAGUCUGUGCUCUUAAACGCUGAGCCAUCUCUCCAGCCCUCCUAUAUUCUUUGAGGAAGUCUAACCUUACACACCAACUUUAACAAACAAGCUCUUAAAGGAAUUUGGUACUCCUAAUUAUAUUGGACUAUGUAAAUAAAAUAUCUUGGAAGAUAUUGUUGGCUGCAGGCAGGAAACUGAACUCAAGCCAGCACUCUCUGAGUUCAAGGGCUAGCCUGAUCUACAUAGUGAGUUUCAGGAUAGCCAAGGCCACAUAGAGAGAUCCUGUCUCAAAAUAAAAAGGUGGAAGAACCAUUAUUUAUAUCUUCACGUUCCUUAACGCUUUUCUUCAUUUCUUGUACUAUAGUCAGAAUUCCUUCUUUAUAUAUUGACAUUCUCAUGCCUUAGUGAACUAUGCUUAACAGGCCAUUAAACUUAUUUUCUAAGACUAAUUAUUCAAUUUUUUAACCGGUAGUUAGUUUUAACCUGUAGUUUUUAGUUUGUAGUUUUUAUUAGCAUUAUACUUGCAUUUUGCUCAUUAUUUCUAUAUUUGUCUUGAGAAUGUCGAUGACUGUGCAUGUGUGUAGAGGCACGUGUAUGCAAAUGCACACAUGCAUGCGUGUCAGCAGGCCAAAAGACAGCCUUAGGUGGUGUUCACUCUCAGGAGCCACUUCUUUAUUAAGAAAGGGACCUUGGGACUUGCUGACUUAUGGUUAGCAAGUUCCAGGGACCCACUCAACAGUCUCCAGUUCCCUAGCACUGAGAUUACAAGCGUGUUCCAGCCCCUUACAUGUGUGCUGGGAAUUGAACUCAGAUGGCAAACACUUGACUGAUCUCCCUAGCCCUCUGGUUAUAGUUUAAGUUCUUCAUACAUAUCAUAAUGGUUAGGUGGUAAGAUUAUAGAAGAUGAAUAUCUCUGUUUAUAUCUUAAUUUCUGCCAUUCAAUGAGUAUUAGCCUCUUUUUUCUCAAGCGUUUACUUUCAAAAUAUAGGGUCAGUGAUACAAUCAUAUCAUAAUCAUCGGACAAGUGACUAGAUUUUAAGUUGACUUACAGGGCUGGAGAGAUGGCUCAGUGGUUAAGAGCAUUUGUUGCUCUCACAGAAGACCUGGGCUCAGCUCUAAGCACCCAUGUGGUGGGCUCACAGUCAUCCUAUUUCCAGUUCCAAGGGAGAGCUGAUGCUCUUUUCUGACAUCAGGCACAUGUGUGGAACAUAUACCUGAUAUGCAAAUAUUCAUACACAAAAAUUAAAAUAUUUUUAAAAUGAAGUUUUCAGAUGUCAUAUGUAAAGAAUUCAUAACAGAACCUGGAAACUAAAAUAAUAUUGUUUAUCUAUCCUUUGCGCUGAUACAUUUUAAAAGUGAGAUUGAUAUACACGUAACCACUUAAGAUUAUACAGGUUAUAUUUUAGUGUAUUCAAAAUGUUCCAUAGCCAUUACUUAGGACAUUUUCAUUAUGCACAAAGGAGACUCCUGUUCUCAGUAGGCAAUCACUUCCCGCUCUUUCUUGGUGCUGAGCACACAUCAGCAUGCAAUUUUUGUAGAUUUAACUAUUCUGAUUGUUCAUAUAAUAUGGUGUCUUUAUGUUUAGUUUUCUUAAUGAUUUUAAAUUUUACACACAUUCUAGUAUGUAUAACUAAGAAAUUAUUAAAAAUAUAAAACUCAAAUUUGUUCAUGUUUCUGUCUUUCAAGUUAUGACAAAUGCACAUAUGAACAUUAAUUCCUAUGGACUUAAAUGCUUGUUUCAUUACCCUUGUAUACGUAUCUAGAGAUUCCUAAUAUGAGGCAAGAGCUGUGCAACUUAAGCUGUAUCCUGGGCCUGUUAUUGAGAAAUCACCAAACCCCUUUCACAGGCAUCGAACCUGUUAAGUUCCUAUGAGAAAAGCCCAAGUUUUUGGUCUCCAAAU